rnacentral:lncRNA from 1 species
GGGAGGGGGCUUCUGAGACCCAGCAGCCCCCUCCUGGGGCACUGGGUCCCCACCUAGGUGCAGUGGCCCUCGCCAAAAGCACGUGCUGCCAAGCCUCCAUUAGUCACCCUGGCACUGACAUCCAUAAAUCCCAUUAGUCACACUCUACACAAGCUCGAAGCCGAACACACCCUGUCACACCCAGACAAAGACCAGGGCCCCCGAAGGGGCCCAGAGUGUCCGGGGCUGGGUCCCCAGGGACUAGCACCGUGUGGCUCUGGAGGCCCUCAUCGGUCAGCCUUUCCGAAGCAGCCCCCAGCAUCACAAACCUCCUUACAACCGCGCACUGAGGUCCCCAAAUAACCAGGGCUUCCCAAACCUUGCUCCAAACCUCGCCCAUCCCCUCUGGGCACGCACACCCUAAUAAACACCCACAAAUGUCCUUGGCACACCUCUCUUCUUGGGGGGGUGGGGGGGAACGGGCUGACAUUGGCCCCCUCCCCCACGCCUGUCCUCUGCUGGGUCUGGCAGGCAGGAAGUAUUCCCCAAGGUCACCAGAGCUCUUCAGUUGGCUCGGCCCGGGAGCUGAUUUAUUGGCGGUUUAUUUGGAGAAACGCUAUCGCUCUCAGAUUCCGGGGGAAAAAGCGCUGGCGGUGGACUUUAACCUUGGGCUGAGACCACAGCGCUUUGUUUUCCGAGCCGCUUCCUGGGCUGGGGCCUCGCUGGGGCGGUUCGCCGGAAUGUGGCUGGGCAGCCUCUGCGCUCCCGGGCGUCGCUGGGGCCAGCGCGCAAAUUCCUGCGCGCCUGGCUGCCGGAAGCCCUCGGUCCCUCCAACUGUGCUUUUGGAAAUUUGAGGGAGCUGGAGCUCCUUGAGUGAGAGCGACCUCGGGGCCCAGUUUCAAAAGCCCCUGCACCCGGCCUCCUCUGUCACCCGCUCGGAAUUGUGUCACUGGCACCAUGUGAGGUUUUGGGGAGGCACCCAAGAAGGUGCAUUGUCAACCCCUCCGCAACUGUCCCCACCCAGCGUCCCACGGCCCCUUUCGUGGUGGUUAGUCCCCACUGAGUACCUCCACUUGCUUGGCUGAAGCAGGGACCAGCAGAGAGGUCUGCGGGCCCCUCUGUCAAAGAAGACAGACAAUGCCCAUAACAUUAGUCGUUACUACUGCAGAUCUUCCCAACAACUUCCUCCCGACUGUUAGGGUGGAAAAACCAGCGCCCCGCCUAGCCUUCGACCUGCAAGCGACAGAUUCCUGUUUUCCCAAUGGUUUGGUUAUUUGUGCCAAGAGGGUAGGGCGUCAAACAAGGGUCGCCAAGCUGGGGAACCCGUGGCGAGCGAAGAGGGAUCCAAGGGCGCGGGACUAAGGCAGGGUCCGUUGAGGUGACCAGCUGAGAAGCCACUGUUCCUGACCUAGGCGUCGCCCCUCGGUGGCUCGGAUAGCUGCGCACCCAUUCAAACCUCAGCAGGCCUUCACCUGGCCCCCGCACGCCCCUACCCAGGGCGGUGAUCCGUGAGGCCCAGGCCGCCUCGGGGUCCGGCACUCGAGGGGAUGGCUGGUGGUGGCACCGAAUGGGCGAGGCGACUCCCUCUUUUUGGCGAACGGGGAAGCUCCUGACAGUGAUUUCCAGCGUAGUGACCGGGAGAGCAGGGUACCUGGCGGCCGGGGACGAGUGGCCAGGCUGGAACACCCGCCAGUGAGCAGCGGAAGGAGGGCUGGUGAGGGAGAUUUAUGGCCGUGGCCGGCCCCCAGCGCACUGAGCGCUUCUCCGUCCUCUUCGAGCCAAACAGUGGAGUGGAAGACCCGACCCGGGCCGGAGGAAGAGGCCAGGGUCGUAGGCGGGGCCGAGAGGAGUCGGAGGAAUCCUUCGAGGCCCGGCCUGGCGCAACGGCCCGGGCUCUCCUAGCCGUGCACCAGGGUUCUGGUGGCGAGCGGGGCGCUGGCACCGCGUCUCUGGCCUUCCUGGUGAGUCCUCAUGGCUCUCGACUGGGCUGGCUGAGCCGCACCUGGUCCAGUUGCAGCGAGGAUGGCUGUGCCGGGCGCGGCCUCUCCGGGUUUUAGCGGCGCCCGGGCAGGGAGCUCCCUGGUUGUUCGACCCUGCGGAAACUCUUGCCUAGAACUGCCCACGGCCUUUGGAGCUCGCCAUCCUCGGCAUCCCCUUCACUACCUUAGACGCUGGUGUAGUUCGGGGGCUCCGAUCGGAGAAAGGCGGUUCGGGGCAACCGAUGGGGUGACUUGGACUUCCAUGCCUUGGAAAGAAUGCUAGCUGUCCCCUUACCCUUGCUGAGAAAACGGGGAAGAUGUAUCCACGCGGCCAGCAACACCAAGGUUCUGGAAGAACCAGGUUCGACCGUGCCGUGGGGAGAACUGAGGCCGACUUGUGCUCCAGGAAUCGGAGGACCAGCCAACAUUCGCAGGCCUCAGCGCCGACAAAGGCGCGGCAGGGGACACAGCCGGGCUCAAGGGAGGGACCCGAGGCCGGGAGAGGAAAACGGCCUUCUCGCCUGCCCAUCCCACCCGAAGGCGCUGCUGGGGGAGAGGGAAUGAAUCGCCGCUUUGUUUUAAAAGGAAGAAAAAAAUGAAAAAGAAAAAAGCAGCCCUUGUCUAUUUUGGCGUCUCCCCCCUGCGUUCUGGAGGCUCACCCUAGGGGAGGUGGCGGGCAGGGGCGCGGGCGCAGGGUGCAGCCCACUGAGCCCCAGGCCCUUCCCGGCUCGGCAGGCUUGUCACCUCCUUUAGCGAGCGGGAAGCUGACAGGCGGCCCAUUAAACUGCGCCUUGCAAAGCCCUGGAUUGCGGCGACAACCAUCU